GCAGUUUUUCAUGCAAUCUGCAAAUCUUUGGAGAAAACAAACUUUGCAUUACUGUAGUUGUCACUGCAUGUUAAAAAAUUUUGCCCCAGUUAAGUAUGGAAUUCUGGUUUGCGUAACAGUGUUACAUCACAAUGCUGUAAAUAGUUACGUGAAUGCUGUCUCAUAGCAUGCAUUAGCUUCAGUGUAAGCUUCACUGCCUCAUAACAGCAUCCAACAGCAAGGGGAGCUCUAAGACAACCUGGAGUAAACUGAGAAACUUCUGAAAGAAAAUUACAAAUACUAAACAUUAGAACGACGUUGGGAACAGUUUUCCAAAUAGAACACAGUGAGCUCCUCACCCACCACGGGAGAGUUUAGUGGUCUCUCAACUGAGUGAAUGUAUGACACUGGAAUGCCUCAUUAUAAAUGGGCACUGAAUGACAGCUUAUGUGCUUGGAAGGAGAUGGACUCUUGUUUUCGUGUGUGCAUGCUGUUGCAUCUGGUGCCUUAAGGAAGAGAGAGACAGAACCCUGCAGAAAAAUCCAUCUUUAACUGCAUAUUCUUGUGAUCCAUUAGUAAUAAACUUGUUCUAUUCAGUAAUUUUAAUGCAUGCAAUCAAUGUUCGAACUAUUUUUUCUUUAAUUGUGACAUAUCUCAUGUGGAUGCCAAAGGAUAUACUGUUGUCUGAAUGCAGGCCAAGGUUCAGAGCAAUGUUUUGUUUUGUCACUGUGCAUUAAGGACUUGGUUCAUUAGUGAACAAAAGAUAUUUCAAUAUAAUUAUUUGCAAGUGCUUUAACCAUAGUAAACACAUUUAGUGAUUUUAUAGCAGUCUACAAAAAACACAAGGUAAGCAUCGUGUUGAAAAAAUCCUCCUUUUAAAAGUUGAGUAACAAAGGCACUUUGUUUCAUGCAUCAUUCUGUAUGGUUUCUAAAUCAUGUUGUUCCUGGUGCUGCUUCAUCUGUAGCAGUAGGUUGUUAAAC